UAGGAAGUCGGCCUGAAACAGCCUUAAGUUC
rnacentral:piRNA from 1 species